AGAGAGAGAGAGAGAGAGAGAGAGAGAGAGAGAGAGAGAGGGGAACCUGUACUGUUCUACAACACAAGGAGAUCCAGGAAUUCGCCAGAGAUAAUAAUAAUUGCACACCAUUUUUGCAGAGUUGAACCACGGGUCGCUGUUGUCAGUCGCUGCACUGGAAGACACAGUGUGUCUCCUCUUAUCUCUGCCGGAUCUGGACUUUUUAUAUUUUGCUUUUGGAGAGCUGCACCGGUCCUUUUUUUUGUGAGUGUUUGAGCUCAGCGGUGUUUUAACUGGUGAAUGAUAUGACGUAUGUGCAGGCCGUGCUAUAGAGACCUCACUGUUACAUGAUCUGGAAUCUGCUAAUGUGCUUCAAACUGAAGAGAAUCAAGAGAAGCCAAUAAAAUGAAGAACAGAAGUGUGGUGGAAUAACAAACCUGAUGAACAGAACUCUCAAAAUUUCUGACACAAUGAUGACCUGGAAUUGAGUGAAAACCUUCCCUUUAUUCAGAAUAGACAAAUAGAUUGUUAAAUCUAAAUCUGGGACUUUCACUUCCAUAUUACUUGUCUAGAUAAAUGGUAAAUCUACAUACGUUGCUCUCUAUGGUGCCAGUGGCACGCAGAUAGUUUGAGCCAGUCAUUCAUUGACAGUGCUAGAUGAAGAUGGAUAGAUGGUGUUGCAUCCAGUAACUGGAGAGUGCUAAAUGAGCUGCUGUGUAAGCAGCUUGAUCUCUGGAUGAUUAAAGGCAGAUAGCAUUUUAACUGACCAACAAAGGCACGCUAUACAUCCCUCGAUGUGCAACUGCAGAUAGCAGUAGUUUCAGGUUUUAUUGAGCUUGUGAAAGGCCAGGUAGACAGGGUACUUUAGUUUGUACAAUGAAUCCUAGAGACAGCGUGGAGGUGAUGGAGACCCAGACCCGAGGUCAGAAGGAGAAGCUGGUUGAAGACCCGAUCAACCCUGGCAACGAGGUUGAGGGUGAGGACGACAAAAUCCCCGGGGCUUACAACUGCAACGUUUGUGGACGCAGCUUCCCGUUCCUUAGCUCUUUGUCGCAGCAUAUGAGACGCCACACUGGUGCACGCCCUUACAAAUGCCCCUACUGUGACCACAGGGCCUCUCAGAAGGGCAACCUCAAAGUUCACAUCCGCAGCCACAAACUGGGCACGCUCUCUAGCCACCACUCCAAUGAAGAUGAAGAGGGUGGGGCCGAGGAGGAGGAGAUGAGUGUUUCAGAGGGUCUCGACGGAGGUACGAGUCCAACUAAGAGCAGCUCUGCCUGUAACCGGAUGAUCAAUGGGGACAGUGGUGAGGAGAGUCGGAGGAAAGUGCCUGGGAGGAGCAUGAAAAGAGAGAAGCCUGUUACCGACCAGAGGCCUUACUGUUGCCGUCUGUGUGGCUAUGAGGCCCUUCGAGAAGACCAGCUCCUCAGCCAUAUUGAAAAGGUCCACAUAACAGCAGAUACAGAGGAGGAGACCACUGUUAAGGAAGAGGCUGUGCCCGAACCUGAUGUCGUCCAACCCCAGAGUGAUGGGACCUUCCCCUGUGAGACCUGUGGUCAGAUCUUUACCCAGGCCUGGUUUCUAAAGUCACACAUGAAGAAACAUGCAGGGAUCCUGGACCACUGCUGUCGUAUUUGUGGACGACGGUUCCGCGAAGCUUGGUUUCUCAAAUCGCACAUGAAAACACACAACACCAGAGCCAGGUCAAGGUCAAAAGCAGAAUCCACUGAGCAACCGGCCACUAUCAACGACGUAGCCCAGGAUCCUGAAAUUGUCACUGGCUCUAUUACAUCCAUCUAUCAAAUGUGUUCCAAAUGUGGGAACCUGUUCCACGACAAAGAGAGCCUGAGGGCCCAUGACAAAAUCCACAGUCUAAGUCAUGGCAGGAAAUCCCAGAACCAAUGCAGACUCAGUGAUGAUGAGGACUCACCAGCUGCUAAGAGACGUUACCUUGACUACUUUAACCUCCAGCCUGUUGAGAAAAAGACCCUGGAUGAAAAGGAGAGUGAGAAGAAGAUGCUAGGUCAAAGAAUCCCAGAGCUGGAUCCAGUUUGCAGCUACCAGGCCUGGCAAUUAGCUACUAAAGGAAGGGUUGUUGAGCCAGUGGAGGCGAGUUCCAAGGCCGCCUAUGGGGUAGGAAGUAUGGGGGAGGAGGCCCUCGCUGGAGCUGCUGUGGUUUUUGAGAAGGAAAGCAGCCGUUACGUCCUGCAAGGUCAAGAGAAACGCAGCUCAGGGCGACGAAGCAGCUCUGGAUUGGGAAGCCAUGCUUCUUCAGGGGACCGGACACCAGAGAGCCUCAGCGACUCAGAGUACCGGCCUUCGUCUCGCCAGGACCGACGGCGACCAUCUUCCUCGAAGUCUAACGAGUGCUUUGAGUGUGGGAAGGUGUUUCGCAGUCGUCACCAGAUGAUCGUCCACCAGAGGGUCCACAGCAAGCACGGAGGUAGGGCAUCUGUGGGACACAAUGAAAGAACUGCAAGAGACGACCGAUGGGGGUCCACCAGUGAUCCAGAGUCAGGCUCCCCCAGCCGGCCCAGCACCCCGGGGUAUGGAGACUCUCCACCAGCCUCCACCCUUGGAGACCAGGCCUCAGAGAUGGGUACCGCAAAAUCUGGAGAGAUUGCAGAUGAGAAGCCUUAUAUCUGCACCCUUUGUGACUUCGUCACCACAGAGUUGCAGGCCUAUUUGACUCAUGUCCGUGUCCAACACCCGGCUGCCCCCGGAGAUAGACCCAGCCCCAUUCCCAGCCCAAGCUCCAGCUCGGAAAGAGGCACCCCUAGUGGUUAUCCCAAGCUCAAGAAAGCUCUUCUUCAGGGGUUGAACAAUUCUGCAUCCCCUCCUGCGUACCUUUCAGCCCUAUCCUCCUCGCUCGAUCCCAACAUGACCCCUGUGGAUCUAUGUGUGAGGGCUGAGGGCUGCAGGGGCAUAGCCUUCCUAACCCAGGACAGGAAGAGCCUCCCUAGCCACAAGUGCUCCUUCUGCUCCCACUCCACCCGCUACCCCGAGGUGCUCUGGAUGCACCAGACUGUGGCUCACCGCAUCAACAGCAGCAGCUCCAAUCUUGCUCCUAAAUGGGCUCUCAAACACAGCUCCAAGGGCUCCAGGGACAACUUAUUAUCCUCCAGGAGACGCACUGGUCCCCCGCCAGUCCUGGAGGGAAAGGAAUGCCCACCGCUGCCUCCACUGAUGCGUGCCCAACGUACCCGGCCCCCGACCUUCUCCAGCGAGGUUCUAAAGAAAAGCAGGCCAGCUAGUCAGGCAGCCAUGCCAUCAUCAUCAUCCUCCUCUACCCCCUCCUCCUCAUUCUCCAGGGGCUCCAUAACCACCCCAGGCACCCAAGCUCGGAAAGUCCCCGUCCGGCCAGGCAGCAGCAGAAGCAGCAGCAGCAGCAACAGCAACAGCAACAGCAACAGCAACAGCAACAGCAACAGCAACAGCAACAGCAACAACAGCAGCAACAACAGCAACAGCAACAGCAACAGCAACAGCAACAGCAACAGCAGCAGCAACAGCAGCAGCAGUAGCAGCGUCAGACACAUGGAGGACCAGAGUCAUCAGUCUCGCUUCAAACCCAAAGUGGAUAUUUACCCUCGGGGAGGCUCGUCGUCUUCCUCCAGCUCCGUGGAGAAGAGCACCGGUGCCCUCUCACGUUCCUCAGCCCCAAGCCCCAGCUCUGCUACUGCAUCCCGGAUGGCUGACCGCUACUUGAUGCCCCAAGAGGGCCUUGGCUUCAUGCUGUCCAGCAAACACGGCCUAUCAGAGUACAGCCGAGCAAGGGGUUCCCCUCAUCAGCCGCUUCCCAACUCCCACGGCCAGAGCCGAGCUAACGCUACGAGGCCCAGCACCAUCACCCACAGCUCCACAGUGGGACACAACUACGGAUCUUCCCAAGCACAUGGAGGCACUCUGCUGAAUUCCUCCUCCUCCUCCUCUUCUUCUUUGCCUUCAGAGGCUCGUGGAGAUGUGAAGCAGGAGCCAAUCGCAGAGACACCAGAGACGCCAACUGACAUCCUCGGCUUCCUCAAAAACUACAACCCCCACGAACUGGCUUCCCUCUACCACCGCUGGGGUGCGGCCAAUGCAAUGUUGGAUCCAACUGGGAUGCUGAGGUCUCUGAUGCGGCAGGGACAGUAUUUCUGCCAUGAGUGCGGGAAGAGUUUCAGUCAGCCCAGCCACCUGCGCACUCAUAUGAGAUCCCACACAGUUGGGUUUGAUUUUAACGGACUCCACAGAGGUACUGACGCUCACACCACCGCUUCUGAAGCUCCCAAACAAGGGAGAGGCCAUUCCUCUGCCAGCUCUGCCCAUACCGAGCAUCUCAGAAAGGGAACCUAAAGACGCACGUCCAGAGUGUCCACCAUAUGCCUUUUGACAACAGCCAGUACCCAGACACAAGGAGCUUGUUACUGAGCCGGGAGGAGCGAGGAGCGCUGGCUGCCAAACAACCACCAGCAACAACAACAACAACAACAACAGGAGACCAUCUGAUAGACCGGGAUCUGGACUUGGGACCAGACUAGUCAGGGAAUCACACAACCUAAAAACACUAUCGCCAUUCCUAAAAAAAUCAGAGGAGUCCUCUCCACUCAUCAUCCUUUAAUGACCUUAGAAUAAUUAUCUACAAUGAAGGCUCUUGUAGUUGUUGUUGUUGUUGUUUUGUUUUUUUACAUAAGAAGCUAGUUAAAGCUGUGCUAGGCAAUUUUAGCAGCAGAGAAAAGUGUCUUAUCUACUAACGGAAAGAAUUUCUGGUGAAAUUCUGCAUUUGGAAAUUCAAAACAAAAAAAAAGUGUCAGAUGUGCACACAGGUGGGACAUUUUAUUUUCUCUGCACAGAAGAAAUGAAGAGUAAAAAAGUGUCCCCUCAGCAGGAAAGCUGGACUCACCAAGGAUCGAUCUUUUGCUAAUUCAGUUUGAAAAUUGGCAACACUGAGCAGAUUGUGUGUAGUUUACAUCACCUUUCAAGGAUUUCUGAAUAUAGAAGCCCUCAAAAUUCAAAAGAGUUGCCUCUUGCUGCCAUUCCGGAGGCACCAACGAGUUGAAGUUGCCCAGUGCAGCUUUACGAGAAAAGCGACGUUUUUAUGAAGAGAAGUGGAAAAACUGAACUUGAAUGCAACUGCUCGUGUUUUGAUUAAGGACUGUGGCAUUGCAUGGCUGCUGUAGUUGCCCCCCUUUCAUUUUUUUUCUUAGCUUUAUUGUAUAAGAGUUCGUGCAUUCCUCAGGACACCAAUCAUCAGAGAUGAGAUGAGAAAAAAGAUGCUCUGCAGUUCAUCAGUCAAUUUGCAAAUGAAGACUUGCAUCUGUCUGCGUCUCUGUGUGUGUGGGUUGGUGUGUGUGUGUGUGUGUGUGUGUGUGUGUGGGUGUGUGUGUGGGUGUGUGAGUGUGUGCAUGUGUGCAUGUGUGCACAAGUGUGCAAAACUCACCUCCCUCCAGUCCAGAGUGUAAUGUUAGAAGUGCAGUGACCACUCUGAGGCUGUGUAGCUGAUGAUUGGAAGGAGAGAGAGAGAGAGAGAGAGAGAGAGAGAGAGAGAGAGCAUUAAUGGGGGUGUCUGCUUUAGUGCUCAUUAAAAAGAGUGUGCGUUUUUAAUAGCCAAUAUAAAUGAGCAUACCAAUUUUAUGGUCAUUCAAUUAUUGUCCAUUUAAGAGGAAGGGACUGAGUGGAGGCAGUUUUCCUCCAUAACUCCAUCUUAAUAAAGAGUGUUUCCGACACUUCUGACUUUGAGUUAGUCUGACAGUGGGGAAUGCAGGAAGAUGCUAGCUCGGCUGUGGAUUGCACUGAUUAAACUCUGACUUGUGCGCUUGCAAAAGAGAAUAUGGUACUAUUAGUGUUAGCCAGCAACAUUUUCAUUCAUAUUGCUAAAGGGCAACACUGACCUUUUGGCCUGUUGGUUUUUAAGAGAUGAAAGCUUUGGUACCCAAAAUACCGCAGUAUCUCUGGUAGGAAGCCUGUCAGCAGCACUAAAUACCUUAGCUCCAAUGUAACCAGAGGGGUUACAAGAUACUUGAUACUCGAUAGAAGAGAAGCAAACAAAGUUCUUCUUCACAAAGUUAGGUUUCUUUUUUGUGACUUGUCUCAUCUUGUAAAGUAGUGAAAAGUUUAACCCGUUCAGGGCUCUAAAAGUGACUCAAAUUAAACAAUUUGAGAAGAGAAUUUCAGAGCCAGGUUAGCUGGUUUCCUCGUUUCCAGUCUGUGCUAAGCUAAACUAAGCUAAGCUAAGCGGCCACUUGCUGAAUUUUUAGUGGACAAACAUGAGAGUGGUAUUAAUCUGAUCUUCUUUUCUUAUCAAAAUCUCUGCAAUUAAAUGAAUAUUUCCCCAAAAUGUGCCAAACUAUUCCUUUAAAAGUGACAGGUUGGUUAAACAGAUAAAAACGACAUAAAAUCCAACAUGUCCGCUGUAACAGAGCAUGCACAUUCAACAGAACAAACUAUCAGAGAUAAAGAGCUGAUUUUGUUACCAAAGCAUUCAAGCAGACUAAAACUCCCAUACUGUCAGGUUUAGUCUUUUGAAUGGUGAUGUGAAGAAUUGCAUUCUGGGAAGAAAAAGUGAUGAGGUCAUAGAGAGAGAGAGAGAGAGAGCAGCCAGAGAUCAGGAUGUCAGGCUUCCAGAGAGUUUAGAUGGAGACGUUUUGAAGCCUAUUGAAUCAUAGAGCCGCCACAGCCUUAACACAGGUGUGUGUGUGUGUGUGUGUGUGUGUGAGAGAGAGUAUGCAUUUAUGUGUGUGUACGUGCAUUCAUUUCAAACCUCUCCAUACUGUAUACGUACUCCAGCCUCCCUCUAUGCUUUGUAUACUAGCCUACCUCCUUCGCGAUUAAAAGCCUGUUUUAAAGGUGCAGUAAGUUAUUCUGCCAAACAAAUACAACGCCCCCCCCCGACUGUUCUUUGCUCGGAGGAGAUAGAAAAAGAAGAAGAACAGCAAGACAGUUAAAAGCAGCGCAGACGUACAGAGCAAGAGUGGAACUGUGGAGACAUUUUUGUAUGCAUAUAAUCAAAAUUCAAACCUGUUAAAAGAUGACAGAGCAUACAGAGUACUGUACCUGCCAUCUAUUUUGAGAUCUUAGUAGUUUUUCCACGAUGAUGAAAUGGUUGCUAUACCAGUGGGUUGUUGGGUUAUGCAUACAUACAUUGUGUGCUUGAAUAUGCCUAAUAAUGCACAAAUGUGUGUAUUGAAGAUGUGGGUAGUGAAAAUACUUGAAAACGGAUACUCUAGCCUUCAAGGUAGUAUAGUACUAAUACCAAUGUUGUACAGAAUUCCCUUUAAGACUAACUCCUCAGUUAUGAAUUUGUACUCCGAAGUGUGACUUAGAAAAACUAUGAAGCAGGAGUGAGUGUAUGUAAUAUAAAGUGUAUAUCUGUAAUCCACUCUCACACAAUUACCAAACCCUUAUAUACAGCGGUAGAAACCAAAUGGCAUUACUAGUGCUCUUAGACUAGGUUACUGCUUUAACCGUUCUCAUUUUGUCCCAUCCUAGCUAAGGUUUCUUUGAGAAUGUCUUUUGAUGGUGUCAGCUAACACACGUAAAUGUCAUUUCUGGUUUAGAGGCUUUUUGUGUGGGUGAUUCCAUAGGUUAAUGGCAAAAGAUUUGUUCUGUGACGGCUGUGUGGCCCAGCUUUUUAGCUUUGUUUCCCCAUUGAAAGUUUGAUAAUGCUAGGCACAGCACUGCUUAUUUUUUUUCAUAAAGAUGUAAGAGUAUGUUUUUAGUCUUUCUCUUCGCUAAAUUGUAGGAUUUGUUCAGUAGCUAGUCAUGGCUGCCCUCCCAGAGGGGCUGGCAGGUAUUGUUCUUUUUUUCUUUUUGGUUGGGUUAUUAUCAUGCUUCUUAAGUUGUAUUUUUUGUGUCCGUAUUGCUUUUUUUUUUUUUUUUUUUGUUAUGAACUUCAUGAUUAAUUUACCUUAGAAGACAUUAUUAUUCCAAAUGUAUUUGGUUGAUAUCUGUAUUUAUUAUCACUUCAAAAAGGAUUAGAGGACAGAGGCAGACAGGAGCGUUUGUUUUAAUUUGAUUUUUCUGGGUUGUUUUUGUUUUUAAUACUGUGUAGUUUUCAUGCCAGCAAGCCGAUGUGAAAGCUCUACCUCGUCUGAGCCAUUCUCAGUUCUGUUACACUUUUGUACAUCAUUUCAAAAAGAUGUAAUGUCAUGUCCACAAUAAAGACACACAAAAUGGCACCUGUUGGCGCUGUUU